UACGUAGGGGGGCAAGCGUUGUCCGGAAUCAUUGGGCGUAAAGAGCGUGUAGGCGGUUCGAUAAGUCGGCUGUGAAAGUCCAGGGCUCAACCCUGGGAUGCCGGUCGAAAACUGUCGGACUAGAGUUCGGAAGAGGCGAGUGGAAUUCCCGGUGUAGCGGUGAAAUGCGCAGAUAUCAGGAGGAACACCAAUAGCGAAGGCAGCUCGCUGGGACGGUACUGACGCUAAGGCGCGAAAGCGUGGGGAGCGAACAGG
rnacentral:rRNA from 1 species